rnacentral:rRNA from 1 species
GUCCACGCCCUAAACGAUGUCAACUGGUUGUUGGGAGGGUUUCUUCUCAGUAACGUAGCUAACGCGUGAAGUUGACCGCCUGGGAGUACGGCCGCAAGGUUGAAACUCAAGGAAUUGACGGGACCCGCACAAGCGGUGGAUGAUGUGGUUUAAUUCGAUGCAACGCGAAACCUUACCUACCCUUGACAUGUCAGGAAUCCUGAAGAGAUUUGGGAGUGCUCGAAAGAGAACCUGAACACAGGUGCUGCAUGGCCGUCGU